GCCUCAGUGGCCAAGUGGUAAUGCGUCGGUCUCGUAAAUCGAGAUCAUGGGUUCGAACCCCAUCUGAGGCU
rnacentral:tRNA from 1 species